AAAAAGGGAAUCACACAACCAUUUGAGACCUUCGACCACUGUAACGUUCAGCCCUGCAAAUCCUCCAACCUCUGUUCACUGUGGGAAGUUCAUUAUCUCUGGCCAUCGCUGCUCAUCCUUGGAACUCCAUGCCUUGCCCUGUGUAAGCUUUCUCCGACCACCACUGCUCACAAAGGAAGCCAGCUAGUAUGGAGGUCCAAGAGAUAACGUUGGGUGCAAGAGCGGUCCCAAAAAUCUGAGUGGCAGACACCAUUCCUUGUUUACACUUAGAGUACAUGGUUAUUAGUGCAUUGAUGACUGGUGUUUCAAAAACAAAAACUUGUGUCCAUCAUGCAACCAUGAAGCUGCAAGCCCAAAUACAAGUCUCCUGGUUCUGAACAGGCCUUUGUGAUGCUUGUCAAGGUGUAGCCAUCAAAUCCUACACCCUCCUUUAAGAAGAGACAUAUAUGCCACUAUUGAGAGGGCUGUUUAGGAUGUUAGUCCAGAGGUAAGGUUGUUGUAGAAAACAUAAUAUAAAUGAUAAAGUACAUUAACAAGUUAAGUGUUUACUACCUCUGGCCCAUUCAUAUAAUUUAUCUCAAGUACAUUAUUAUUGGGGAAAAAAUUACAUAAACAAAGAUUUCUUCAAUCCAUAUUACAUUAUUCUGUUUUA